rnacentral:lncRNA from 1 species
UUAAAACAUCCCUAUAAUAUUAUAUAAAUAGUUGCUAGUCAAAAAUGGAUUUUUUUGGUUCCCAGUCCUUAACAACACAUUUCUCUGGUCUUGAGUCAACAGAUGGGUUGCUCAUUACAAGAUGAAGAAAAUCCAGCAGAACUGUGUGGAGCACUGAGGGCAUAGCAAAAUUAUGGAUCGUCAGUACCAGAUGGAUCCCGUUCUGACUUCCUUGUCAGUACCAACUGGGGUACAGAUCAUCUCACUUGACAUCAAACCUGUAACCGUUAGGUGUGAAGUUAAGCUGGCUGAAGAUCAGAUUUGGCUGCUAUGGACGUUCUAAGUGCAUCUACAGAGGAAGCUUAAUCUUUCCCAUCCCAGAUGGCUGUCUUGAAAGGGUAUGGAUUGCUAUCCUUAAUCGCUGCUUUCUCUUUGCUGAAUAUAUAGGGAAUGUAAAUACUAACUUAAGAUAAUAUGUCUUAAUUUUUGGAUGGCUGAUUCUAGAGAACAGAAAUUCUAUUUUAAGGAGGCACACAAAUCCUUCCAUGCGGUACUGUUCUUUCUGGGAUGUGGUGUUUUAUGUACUUUGAGGAAGAUAACAAUUUAACUGCUCUGUCCUGCACUCUUGGUGUAUUUGUUUGGUGCUGGGGGAGUACUGGUCCAUUAGGAUCCUGGUAUGAAAGUCUGUAAGGUACCAUUUGACCUGCUGUUUAUUAGAUGGAAUGCUAAAAGGACAGAAUAAUAACUAACUGAUGUCCCUUUAGAUGCUAAGAACCCCAAGUUACGCAGCACCAAAGAAGCAUCUGAUCCAUGCUCAACACUAUGCAGACCCCUUAUUUGAAGGGGUACUCCCAUUUGGAUAAUUUUCCAACAUGCCAGCUUUUUGCUGUACUUGUAGACAAAGGCAGGAUAACCCAAGUGGCAUAAUCACUGGUACUAAAUGGGAGCUGGAGUUUUUGUGAAGGAAACUUAAAACUUGAUUGCAGUACUGAAUCAACAGGUGAGAAUGAUGCCUAGAGCAGAGAUCCGCGGCAGUUCUAGCUGUUUGGUUCUGUUCACUUGCAGCCUUUAAUGUCAGGAAAGGAGUUGAGCACUGAGCUGUGUAUGCUCCGUGUUGCUGAGGGUUGCAGCGUGACUUAUUGAGUCAAACUGCCAUCUCUUCCUGGAAGGCAGGUUCCGUUUAAGACACUUUUGUGGCUCACACUCCAGAUUAUGCAGAUACACGUUUAAAGGUUGUGAGUGACUGGCUCUGGGUCUUCUGAAAUGCUCCUUUCCUACCUAUCUACUUCAACAAGUAAAUAGUUUUGUGUCAAGUUAAAGAUCAGAGGGCAUUAUUCUACCUG